GACGAACCGUGCGAACGUUGUUCGGAAUCACUGGGCUUAAAGGGCGCGUAGGCGGGCGACCAAGUCAGGGGUGAAAUCCUCCGGCUCAACCGGAGAACAGCCUUUGAUACUGGUCACCUCGAGGGAGGUAGGGGCAUGUGGAACUUCCGGUGGAGCGGUGAAAUGCGUAGAUAUUCGGAAGAACACCAGUGGCGAAGGCGACUUACUGGACACAUAUUGACGCUGAGGUGCGAAAGCGUGGGGAGCAAACAGG
rnacentral:rRNA from 1 species